rnacentral:rRNA from 1 species
UUUACCUGGGAUUCCAAAGCGCCUCUGAGGUGCCGCUUUUUUGCCUGGUUAGCAAUCAGGAACAGGUGCUGGACGUCGGAUAGACUGCUACGCCGAGGCCUGCCACAUCAGGACACCUGCCCUCUGUGUAGCCAGGAGGAUGAGACGAUCAAGCACCUCAUGUUGGAAUGCUCCUUAGCAAAGCAAGUGUGGUUGGAGAUGGGGCGAUUCACUGGAUCGACAACCUUUGAGCCUCAAUGGGAUGAGACUUUAGAGGCAUGGUGCUCAAGACAGGAGGCGUGUGCGGCAAGCCCGAAGGUUAGGAGAGCCCAAUGUCUACUUGGGAUGUGGAUGAUAUGGAAACAUCGAAAUGAUGUGGUUUUCAACGCUGCAACACCUUCGGCUGCUCAAAUCAUCGGAAAAAUGAAGGAGGAGACCAAGAUAUGGGACCGGGUCGGCCUG